AGGGAGGCUAUGCUGUUCUGCAUGCAUGUGUUUGAAACAUGAGACAGUGUGUCCUCCCUUC
rnacentral:pre_miRNA from 1 species